rnacentral:rRNA from 1 species
CAGUGGGGAAUAUUGCACAAUGGGCGAAAGCCUGAUGCAGCGACGCCGCGUGGGGGAUGACGGCCUUCGGGUUGUAAACCCCUUUCAGUAGGGAAGAAGCGAGAGUGACGGUACCUGCAGAAGAAGCGCCGGCUAACUACGUGCCAGCAGCCGCGGUAAUACGUAGGGCGCAAGCGUUGUCCGGAAUUAUUGGGCGUAAAGAGCUUGUAGGUGGCUUGUCGCGUCUGCCGUGAAAACCCGAGGCUCAACCUCGGGCGUGCGGUGGGUACGGGCAGGCUAGAGUGUGGUAGGGGAGACUGGAACUCCUGGUGUAGCGGUGAAAUGCGCAGAUAUCAGGAAGAACACCGAUGGCGAAGGCAGGUCUCUGGGCCAUUACUGACACUGAGAAGCGAAAGCAUGGGUAGCGAACAGGAUUAGAUCCCGGGGG